rnacentral:lncRNA from 12 species
GAAUCCAAAGGCAAAUUCCUCCCAUUAACGCAUAAUAUUUACUUUGAAGGAAGGCAGAGGUUAAUUCUUGGGGCAAAAGUCCAUCAGAUUGGUAACAUUUUCUAACUUCCGAGGUUCAUUUUACUCCCUUGAAACUCUAUGAUACUUCAAUUGUGUUUUAUGCCUUAGAUCUUGGCUCUUGGAGGAAUGCUCCUUUUAUAAAUAGCACAAGGUCACAUGUUACCAAAGUCUGACAAUUCACAGGGGAUAUUUUUGUGAGGGGCUGCAGCUGUCUCAGAUUCUACUGAUAUAUCCACAUAUCUUAUCUAACAGUUGGAAAAAGCACUGGCCUACUGUCAGAGAAAAACCUGACUUAAAAUCUGGCUGCUAACAAACUGUAAGAUUUCAAUGUCUUUAUCUCUAAAUUGAAAGAUUCGGCUUGAAUAUUCUAUUUUCUAUAUGCCAUGUAAUCUUAUACAAAUACAUACAAAUAAACAUAUCCUGGCUGUUAGUUAAGGGAAAAUC